rnacentral:rRNA from 1 species
GAUGAACGCUGGCGGCGUGCCUAAUACAUGCAAGUCGAGCGAACGGACGAGAUGCUUUCUUCUAUGAUGUUAGCGGCGGACGGGUGAGUAACACGUGGAUAACCUAACUAUCAGACUGGGAUAACAUCGGGAAACCGGAGCUAAUACCGGAUAAUAUUUUGAACUGCAUGGUUCAAAAGUGAAAGACGGUCUUGCUGUCACUUAUAGAUGGAUCCGCGCUGCAUUAGCUAGUUGGUAAGGUAACGGGUUACCAAGGCAACGAUGCAUAGCCGACCUGAGGGGGAGGUCGGCCACACGGGAACUGAGAAUCAGUCCAGACUCCGACGGGAGGAAGCAGUAGGGAAUCUUCCGCGAUGGGGGAGAGCCGAACGGUGCAACGCCGCGUGAGUGAUGAAGGUCUUCGGAUGGUAAAACUCUGUUAUUAGUGGAGAACAUAUGUGUAAGUAACUGUGCACAUCAUGACAGUACCGAAUCAAAAAGCCACGGCUAACUACGUG